CCUCUCUAGGUUUCUUCCUAAAAUUCGACCUUCUUAGGGAGUUUUUCCUAGCCACUGAAAUUCAACACUACUGUUGUUUGCUCCUUGGGGUUUAAGGCUGGGUGUCUCUGUAAAGCACUUUGUGACAACUGCUGUUGUAAAAAGGGCUUUAUAAAUACAUUUGAUUGAUUAUGGAAUUAAAAUAACAUUUAUUGGAGAAAAAUUUGACCUUAUACUCUCUGACUACAACCUUUAUGCCUAUCCUUCUCUUCGUACCAGGAAACCUACAGUCGUUUUCAGUUCCUAUCCAAUCUCAUUUCCAGACUCUUCUGAAUUUGCGGAAGGUCUGGUGGAACAAUUUAAUGAAAGCAAAUAAGCAAAUAAGACAGUUGGGAAACAUCCCUGCAUCAAUAGCCUUUAGUUUAAUUGGCUUAGUCUACUGACCAAUCAUCUCCCACAAUCUGUGUUUUGUUAACCCAAGCACCAAUCACUACAAUGUUGUAACAUUGCUGUUUGACAUCUUUUUUGCAUAUGCUGACUUUUCCCACUGACACUGAACACGCUGCAUAACAAGGCAGUUCUUGCUUCAUUAAAACUAGUUCAUUAUGAUCAAAAAAGUGCUGUUGCCUAUAAGCUUGUUUUAUGAAUUGGCUGACUCAUUGUAGACUGAAUGUAAUAGAAGUGUUAUUUUAGAUGAUCAAACAUCAGAAAUGCAGUUCCAUUUCAUGCCACAUUGCAGUAUUUUGAUUGGCUAUAUUUCAAAACAUGACAAAUACUUCACACUUCCACAGGAUGACAGUCACCCCCUAAAGUCCAACUUAGACUGUUAGGUGUUCCUGGCUUAUUUGCUCUGUGCACAAUAACCUGGGGAUGAGGUUAAUUUCUAUCUUGCCACCAAAAUUUAACGCCAAAUUCAAUACAUUUCCAUACAUUAAAUGAAACAAAAUUUUGAAGAAGUGUGGUGAAUAUUUAUGCAAUCCUCAAUUUUCAAACAUACCAUCUAUCUGGCACCAAGAUGUUAGCAGUAGAUCCUCUAAGUUGCGAAGUGGCACCUCCAUGGAUCUGACUUGUUUGUCCAGCACAUUCCACAGAUGCUUGAUUGGAUUGACAUCUGCCAACACCUUGAACUCAUUGGUUUGUUCCUCAAACCAUUCCUCAAAUAUUUUUGCUUUGUGGCAGGGUACAUUAUCCUGCUGAAAGAGGCAAAUGCCAUCAGGCAAUACCAUUCCCAUUAAAGGGUGCACAUGGUCUGUAACAAUGUUCAGGCAGGUGGUACGUGUCAAAGUAACAUUCACAUGAAUGGCAGGACCCAAGGUUUCCCAGCAGAAACUUGCCCAAAGCAUCAGACUGCCUCCGCCGGCUUGCCUUCUUCCCACAGUGCAUCCUAGUGCCACGUGUUCUCCAGACCUUCCUCGGCCCAGUCUGACAGUGAUUCCUACAGUCAUCAGAGAGAGAGGCUCAGUUGAGAUGAUCUGUGCAACUCCUUCAUCUCUCUCUGAGUCUGAGUGUUACUUCAAAUUUGAGGGGCAAGUGGAGUUUACCCUACCAGCAGCCUGUCAACAGACACUCAGAAUCACAGUAAAUCAUCUGUUACGGUGGACAGGUCAAAGUUCACCUGCUGUGGUCAAAACACAAUGUCAAUACAGUAACACAGGCUUUCAGUUUAGAUCCAUAUUCAGUGAGCCAUCUACAGUCACAAUUCAGGAUCAUCCUCAGCUGACAGUGAUUCCUACAGUCAUCAGAGAGAGAGACUCAGUUCAGCUGAUCUGUGAGACUCCUCCAUCUGUCUAUGUGUCUGACUGUAUCUUCAGUGAAGUGGGGAGAUCUAUUCUGCCAGGCUCAACCUGUAAACAGACGGUCGCAGGAUCUCAGCUGCUCUCUUGGACAGGUCAACCAUUACCAGCUGUGGUCCAGGUCACAUGUCACUACACUGUAGGGAUGUCUCACACAUCUCCUGUCAGUGACCCAGUUUCUGUCACUGUCCAGGAUCUGCCGGGAGAUCUCAUGAUCAGUGACCCAACAACUAAACAGACAUCUUCUACAGCAGGUUCGACUGUUAGUUCUCAUUUGACCUCCAAAAUAUCUGUGAGGCCAAUUACCAGUUCAACCACUGCUUCUAGCACCCCAGCAACUUCAUCAGGCUGGUCUGUUAGUUCUACUUUGGCAACUGGCAGCCCACAGACUUCAACUGAAAGGAAACUAUUAUGGGUGGCAGCAGUGGGUGUGGCUUCUGGAGUGGGCAUGUUCUUGAUGGGAUUGACAGCUGUCUGUCUCUGCAGGAAGACCAAGAAGAAGUGUUCUCAGAGAUCUCAAGCCCAACAGGAUGAACAUAACCAAGGUCCUGCUGAAGAGAACGGACAAUCAACUGUAAAUAGCAAUUCUGGUACAUACCACAUUUACAGCUCCAUCCGAGACAGACCAGCAACCUCAGCGCAGACAGUUGAGUUGUACAGUCUACUGCAGACGCAAGUCUAACAUAAGUCUUUUAUUCUUUUAUUCACUUUACUUGAAAUUAACACUGACACUUGACUUUUGUUACAUAUCCAUUUUGGUGUGUAACCCAAUAAUAACAAAAAGGAAGAAAAAUCUAAUGUGUGUUCUUGAAUUUGUUUUAAAUAAAUAUAUUGUUUAAUAUACACCCUAGUUCAUUAUAAUAUUUUGCAACAUUAAGAUAUAUAUUUUUUAACAUAAGUGUCAGGAGCAGUAAUACUGGUUGUGAUUGGUGAAUGUG
ensembl:lncRNA